CUUCCUCCCCAAAUCUAACUGAAAUUCGUCUAUGGAGGACAAUCUCAGUUGGGAAUCCAGAGACCAAGCAGCGACCUCGAGGCGGCGCCGCCCUCCCGCCCCUCUCUUUCUCCUCUGCCUCGGCCCUUCGGCUCCACGGUAAACCUUCACUGAGAAGAGGACUGGGGCGACCUCCACCCUUGACUCCGGCGUCCCAUGCAGGGUGGAUGAAGAAUAGACAGGUGCAGUUGCCGAGUUGGAGUUCCGUCCAGCGCUUCAAUGGAAUCCCGAGUUUUCUCCUCAACUCCGGCCACCACCACCACCCAGCCGUGAGUUAGUCCGCCUUUCCCGACUACAAGUUCAGUACAUACAUGCUCUUUGGUGUCAUCAACAGAAAUGAAGCUGAGGUGGUCUCGGAGGGAACAACCCAUCCUCGGUCUCUACCAGAGCCAAGGUCGUUGGCAGCCUCAAUCCCGAGUUCCGACCACCCUCCCCCAGCGGCUGCAACAGACAAAUGCCUCCUUACUGUCCAGAGUAGGGGCUGUUUUCUGUCUGAAAUUGUUGGUAAUUGUUGAACAACUCAAAUGAGAAUAAUACCGCAGAAACUUUCUGGUAGUUACUUCCAGCGAAAAUGGAGGAUGAUGUGCGCUUCACCACAUCGUAAGUCCUUUACCUUCUAAUAAUUGUUGCCCAUAUAUUUUGUUCAUUGUGUUUUUUACAUGUUGUCCUAUGGUGUAAAUACAGAUUUGUCGCUUGGUGUUGUGUUUGAGGACCUGUGCUCAGUGAAAGAAUACUAUGGCAUAAGGUUUAAUUUUUGGAUGGAGGAGCGUGUUCAACAGCAUAGAGAUGUAUUAAUUUUCACAUAGACAUUGGGUACGUUAAUAGGGCAUGCUUAUUUGCCAUUAUACGACACAUGCAUACCCAUGGCUUAUUUCAGUUCUUCAAAAAGCCUGAAGAGAAAAUCCAUGGCAAGGAACUUGAAUAAACGAAUUUAUAGGAUUAACCUAAGGUGAUUGCUUUGAAAAAUUUAUGUAAAACAAUCAGAUUAUAUAUUUGAUUAUACGAAUUAACUUAUUACUCAAGAGACUCGGGAUACUGAAAUUAAACGUAUUAGGAAGAGCCUGCCAUUUAAAGCAUAUUCUAAAAGCUGAGUUGAAAAAGAUACUUAUGUCGGAUUACUUUAUCUACCAAGGUUUUGCUUACUUCUUCAAUGUAAAUAGUUCAUAUAAUCCAUGUGCAUCUUUUUUUUAUAUUUGAAGUAAUAUUGAUGUAUGGUUCAGUAAGCAAUAUUCACACAUCUUUCUUUAUUUCUUUUUACUAGAGUUUCUUACUUUAUGGUUCCUGGGAAAUGAGAAAUUUUCAAGCUUUUUGUAUCUUUGUGUACGCUCUUAGGAAAAUCAGGUAGAUUUGGGCAUUCAACAGUCCUUUAAGAAAAAAACACCUUGAGACAGAACGGUGAAACCUGAUGGUCCAUGAAUUGUGAUGUGUAAAUCUAUGCCAAAGAUAUAUAUGAUCGUGCUAUAUAUAAUUGGUGUAUAUCAAUGUAUCUCAACAAGUUUUUCCAACUGCAUGUGAACUUAUUAAAUAAUAUAGGUUGCGUGCCCUGAAAUAUGUUAGUUGCUUGCUCCACUAUAGUUUGUUUCGCUCUCUCAAUGUACAGUUGUCGCUUGAAAUAACAUUGGCCUUAAACAAGUUCUAAUUCUGUAAAACUUUCUUAGUAAUUCAUGGAGUUGGAUAAGACUUCUGCACAUAAUGUGCUACAUGACGUGUUCUGAUCUCUGCUUGAAUGCAUGAAUACAUGAUUAUUUAUGGUAUAAUAGUAACAUCUGAAAUAUCAAAUAGCUAUGUCCAUAUAUCACUGGCUUGGAAAGUACAGGUUGUUAUGUGCAUAGCUUUAGAUAGAAGUGUAGGCUAGAUUUUCUGUACAUUCACUUCAAGCUUUCGUGUGAUGCUGGAUAGAGGUGUUUCGUAUUCUUUCCUCCAUUGCAGAUUUUCUGUCAUAUGCAUCAAGUGAGUAUUCCACUAUUGAUACAGUUAGUUUUCUCAAGUAUCUUUCAGAGUCUGAACUAGAAAGAGGGGGUGUAUAAGUGCCAGGUCAGAGUAUUUGUGGUGGAAUCCUAGCAUCGUUGGGUACUGAAUAUGAGAAGUGGGAGAUGAUCAAGGCUCUAGUGUUUGCAUAGCGAGUCUUACCAGCAACUGCGCCAGGAAGGAGCGCAUACAACAGUUAAUAAUGCUAGCUUCAAGACCUGCGUGUGAGCGCACGAUAAUCUGUUUGCGGUGAGCACAUGACAAUCUCCUCCAGUAAGACAACACAAUGCAUCUGAAGCAUGAUGGACUGCUCAACCAGCAUACGGUUCUUCAGCAGAACACCGGGCUUUGCCAAAACCAACUCAAUUUGCUCCAUCAUCACGCUGCUCUCCUCAUCACAGCCACCAUGUUCCCAUCAUGUUGUGCUGGUUCUCCCCAAGUUACUCUGCUUAGAAAGUUUGAUUAUUACAUUAUUCUUACUUCCUCAUCCUUGGUAAAGAUAGCACAGUCAAACGUUCAGACUCUUACUACAGAAAAUCUCAAAAUAUUUGUUGUCUUUUCCUAUGAAAUUACACUUGAAUUAUAUAAAAUAAAUAUGUAUAUCACUUAAUUAGAAUGUAAGGUAAGCCUUCUUUAAUAUUGUC